GCGUUUAGCUCAGUUGGUUCAGAGCACCUGCCUUACAAGCAGGGGGUCGGUGGUUCGAAUCCACCAAUGCC
rnacentral:tRNA from 1 species